AUGAGUCCUUGGGGGUGCUUGCAAAAGCUGAGAGAGGCAGAUGGCCUUAACCCUUAUUACCUGACCUGGAUAAUGCCAGCGUAGGGAAGAGGUCGUAUCAUGCUA
rnacentral:ncRNA from 1 species